UGAUGCAGCAUCUUGUUCAUUUUGCAGGAAUCCCUCAACGUCUUCUUCAUCGAGGAAUUUAUCAUCUCCGUCUUGUUCAAUUUGUACCUGUUGCAGAUUCACGUUGUAGAACAGGUUCGUGUCCCAUGGAUUAGUUUCUGCUCCUCCAUCUUCACUUGCUGCCACUUUGUGAUGCAAGACUCCCUCUAGUGUCUGCAAAGAAAUCCCUCCCCGAUCUGUUCAUGCGAGAGGUGGGGAGAGUAGUGGGAUGUUUUUUUGCUGACCUGUGAAUCCUGACGCUGAUUCCCCUCUGAUGAUCUUCCUUGAUGCUCGUCAGGUGAGAUCUGUCAAGUGGUUUGCGGGAGGGGUUUGGCCCUAUUUCGUGCGUUCCAAGUUGGUCACCUGCUGUGUGGGCCUGGAGAUCGACAGAGGAUGGGGUAGGACCCUGAUUUUUCUGGAGUGGGUUAUUGUCGAGGGUUACCGGGUCAAAUUUUUUCCCCGACCCGUUUUGGUGUUGUUUUUCCGCUGUCGGAUGUUUUUUGUGGCUGUACAGCUGUCAUCUGUUUAUUGGUCUAGUUUUUUGAAUGUUUUUGAAUUGGAAAACAUUCAAGCGUCAAAUAGACACUCCCAAAAAUAAGCCCACCUCUUACUUUUUUUAACAAAAAUCUACUAAACAGUGUGUGCAUGCUGGCUGUCCCGUGCGGCCAAUGUGUGAGCCUGGUACAUG